rnacentral:lncRNA from 1 species
UAAAUAGGAUAGAAAGUAAUUUUUUGAAAACUAUAAAAUAAUAUAUAUUGUUGAGUGGGCUGGUAUGCUUAUGGAAGCACGGAGCCCUCCGUGUUUUCAAGUUGUUUUCAAUGUUCGGAUUUUCGAAUCGACGAUCGGCUCCGUUAGACUUGAUCUAGAGUAUUUGAAGUACCUAGAAAAUAAAUUUUGUGAUUUUUCGAUAUCAUUUGCCUAGUGAUCGAAGGGGCUCAAAAUCAAUAAUUUUAACGGCCGUGGUGAGCCGGUUGCAAGUUUAACGGUGUAGAAAUAUCCAAAUAAUAUGAAAUUUUGAUAGAAAAUUUUUUAUACCAUAUAAAACAAGAUCAAUAACUUUGAUCUAAAAUUUUAAUGUCAUGUCAUCAUAUUUUGUAAGAUUUUUAUUUUUAGCCGUUGAUUUUGAACCACUUCGAUCACUAGGCAAAUGAUAUCGAAAAAUCGCAAAAUUUAUUUUCUAGAUACUUCAAAUACUCUAGAUCAAGUCUAACGGAGCCGAUCAUCGAUUCGAAAGUCCGAACAUCGAAAACAAAGUGGAAGCACGGAGCCCUCCGUGCUUCCACAAGCAUCCUAGCUGCACUCUAUAUUGUUUAACAAUGAAUCCUAACGGUGAAAUCAGAAUAAAAUCACAGAGUAGUUGUGAACACCGGAAAAAAAAGGGUCAUUGUUAACACCGAAAAA